rnacentral:rRNA from 1 species
GAUGAACGCUGGCGGCGUGCCUAAUACAUGCAAGUCGAGCGAACAGAUGAGGAGCUUGCUCCUCUGACGUUAGCGGCGGGCGGGUGAGUAACACGUGGAUAACCUACCUAUAAGACUGGGAUAACUUCGGGAAACCGGAGCUAAUACCGGAUAAUAUAUUGAACCGCAUGGUUCAAUAGUGAAAGACGGUUUUGCUGUCACUUAUAGAUGGAUCCGCGCCGCAUUAGCUAGUUGGUAAGGUAACGGCUUACCAAGGCAACGAUGCGUAGCCGACCUGAGAGGGUGAUCGGCCACACUGGAACUGAGACACGGUCCAGACUCCUACGGGAGGCAGCAGUAGGGAAUCUUCCGCAAUGGGCGAAAGCCUGACGGAGCAACGCCGCGUGAGUGAUGAAGGUCUUCGGAUCGUAAAACUCUGUUAUUAGGGAAGAACAAAUGUGUAAGUAACUAUGCACGUCUUGACGGUACCUAAUCAGAAAGCCACGGCUAACUACGUG